UCAGACGAUGCGUCAUGCAUAUCAAUAAGCGGAGGAAAAGAAACUAACAAGGAUUCCCUUAGUAACGGCGAGUGAAGCGGGAAGAGCUCAAAUUUGAAAUCUUCAAGGUUUUACCUUGACGAAUUGUAGUUCAAAGAAGUGUUUUCUGUUGAAGUUUUGGUAAAAGUUCUUUGGAAUAGGACAUCAUAGAGGGUGAGAAUCCCGUAUUUGACCAUUAUUUUCAGCUGUGUGAUACACUUUCAAAGAGUCGGAUUGUUUGGGAAUGCAGUCCAAAAUGGGUGGUAAAUUUCAUCUAAAGCUAAAUAUUGGCGAGAGACCGAUAGCGAACAAGUACCGUGAGGGAAAGAUGAAAAGAACUUUGAAAAGAGAGUUAAACAGUACGUGAAAUUGUCAAAAGGGAAGCGUUUGACACCAGUGUUGUUUUCUCGAAAAUCAAUUAAAAAGAGUUGGAUUUUGUGUUGUAUUGACCUUAACAGCUUGCUUCACUCUUUUCCUGCUUUUUUUAAUGCACUUUUCGUUUAACAAGUCAACAUCAGUUUCUUUUGUUGUAAAAGGGUCAUUGGAAGGUGGCUUUCUCUUCGGAGAAAGUGUUUAUAGCCUUUGAUCUCUGCAAUCGGAGAGACUGAGGUCUGCAGCGUGGAUCCUUCGGGGUUAGAUACAUUUGUGCUAAGCUACAGCUUUUCAUAGACAACUUGUUGACUACGUUUAGUCUUGUAACUUACCCGCUUAUGCUAUUUUACCUACGCUUAGGAUGUUGAUAUGCAUGACUGAUAUA
rnacentral:rRNA from 1 species